rnacentral:lncRNA from 1 species
UACGCCCAAGCGUGCAAAAAUGCCCACACAAGAGGCCCACAGGCCUCGCAUGCAGAACAACUGCAUGCGCAGGCCCAUUCAGCCAGACACGUGCCCCACUCAUAGCCAAGCCAGGCGCGUGCCCAGUGUGCAAGCCCAAAUCAUGCUCCAUGUAACUCGUGUGAUGCUUCUGGACCAACCCAUGUGCCCCAUCUGACCUGCUACCUACAGCCCGGUUCUCCACUUCCUUGAGUCCAUCUUGGACUCUACCUCCUCAUUUUUCACAUGUUUUAAUU